GGUAAUUCUGGAGCUAAUACAUGCAUAAAAGAUAUAACAUUAAUUGUUAUAUUGCGUAUAUUAGUAUUAAAACCAAGCAUUCUUCGGAAUGUUUUGUGUUGAACCUGAAUAUAUCUGCUGAUCGUAUAGUCUUGUACUGACGAUAUGUCAUUCAAGUGUCUGAUCUAUCAACUUUCUAUAUAAGUAUAUAGUACUUAUAUGGUUUUGACGGAUAACGGAGUAUUAGGGUACGACUCCGGAGAAAAUGCCUGAGAAACGGCGUUUACAUCCAAGGAAGGCAGCAGGCGCGAAAAUUACCCACUCUCAGUUCGAGGAGGUAGUGACGAGAAAUGACAAGAUCUAUUCCUUCGGGGAUGGAUCAUUGGAAUGGUUUGAUUUUAAAAUCAUUAAAGAGUAUCAAUGAGAGGGCAA
rnacentral:rRNA from 2 species